rnacentral:rRNA from 1 species
AGCGAACGCUGGCGGCAGGCCUAACACAUGCAAGUCGAACGAACUCUUCGGAGUUAGUGGCGGACGGGUGAGUAACACGUGGGAACGUGCCUUUAGGUUCGGAAUAACUCAGGGAAACUUGUGCUAAUACCGAAUGUGCCCUUCGGGGGAAAGAUUUAUCGCCUUUAGAGCGGCCCGCGUCUGAUUAGCUAGUUGGUGAGGUAAAGGCUCACCAAGGCGACGAUCAGUAGCUGGUCUGAGAGGAUGAUCAGCCACAUUGGGACUGAGACACGGCCCAAACUCCUACGGGAGGCAGCAGUGGGGAAUCUUGCGAAAUGGGCGAAAGACUGACGCAGCCAUGCCGCGUGAAUGAUGAAGGUCUUAGGAUUGUAAAAUUCUUUCAGCGGGGACGAUAAUGACGGUACCCGGAGAAGAAGCCCCGGCUAACUUCGUG